GGAACACGUGUUGUGUUCUGAAAAGUUGUGCAAACGUGUACAAUUGGUGGAUACUAUAUAUUCCAUAAUAAAAACAUUCAUAUUUUAUGAAUGUAUAAAACAAAUUCCACAAAAAAAGGAACCAAUAAUCGCCCUGCUUGAAGUCACUUCUAUGUUUGAUACAACUGUAAAAGCUGUUUUUGUGAAAGGCUUAGAGGAAGUUUAAAGUGUUUAGAAUGCUGGUGGGAAAUCACUUCUGAAAUAAUUUUUUUUUUUUUGUGUGUGUGAGAAGGAUACAGCAAUGCACUUGUCAAACCAUAUAAACACUAUAUAUGCUGUAAACUGUAACUCCCAUCAGUCUCUGGAAGGCUGACAACAAUUAGAGCUAUAAUACACAGCAUCAUGGGAGGUUGCUAGGCACAUACGAAGUUUAACCCCUUUGGUGUAAGUCCACAUCCGGCAUCGUGAUUGCGGCUUCAUUAGUCAGUCUGAAAGACGUCCCAACUGGCUAAUAUUAAUUGUGCUCAUAUUUCUAUGAACAGAAUAUAGUUUGUUGUCUGACAGCAGUCAUCUGACGCUCUUAAACAAUGAAUGGCUGGCAGGACUGGCAUUUGGAUAUUAUAAUAGCCAGUAAGAGAGGGCCCUCGUCAUGCUUGGCAAAACUAGGUGUGAGAGCAAAAACGCUUUGCCCCAUUAACAGGAAACAGGGCCAGGGUACUCCUCGGAUAAUAACCACUACAUCUGGCUAUUGUGUUUAUGGUGCUUAGGUUAUUAACGAGGAACAGUCACUUCCAAGGGUUUUUAAUAAGAUCUCUACUUAUGCCCCGUUAUUUAACAAAAUAUGUGUUUGUGAGGACUGGAACCGAAAAUUGAAUGUAGAAAUCUAUACAGCUGCAUUUAGCUCUAUCCUGGAAAUGAGUGCUUCCCUGCCAAUCAUUGUUAUCAGCUCUGUCCUUUUCAGUCACGGAACAUAGCAUGUGGAGGAAGAGAAACAGAAACAAUGUGGAAUAUGUAUGGGGAAUAAAUACAAUUAAAACAAUGGGAGAUAUUUUGUAUUCUGUUAAAAAAAAAAUUGGUGGAAUUAACUCUGCUCCACAACAUUUACAUUCUAUAUUUUGGUAUAUUUGUGCAGCGUAAGUGAGCAGUAAGUUGAUGCUUUUAUGAGAAAUUAAAGGAGCACUAUAGGGUCAGGAACUCAAACAUGUAUUCCUGACCCUAUAGGGUUAAAACCAUUAUCUAGCCCACUUGACCCCCUUUGCCUCCCUAAAUAUAGUAAAAUCUUACUUGUAUUAAAGUCUGAAGCUGCUGCCUCUGCCUGUGAACUUCCUCUGACCUCUGACAUCAUCAGAAGUGGUGGCCUGAUCCAAUCACAAUGCUUCCCCAUAGGAUUGGCUGAGACUGACAAGGAGGCAGAUCAGGGGCAGAGCCAGCACAAUUCAAACACAGCCCUGGCCAAUCAGCAGGAUCUCUAACCAUCUAAGGAGUGGUCAGUGAAGUUAUCACUAGGCUGUAAUGUAAACACUGCCUUUUCUCUGAAAAGACAGUGUUUACAGCAAAAAGCCUGAAGGUAAUGAUUCUACUUACCAGAACAAAUUCAAUACGCUGUAGUUGUUCUGGUGACUAUACUGUCCCUUUAAAUGACCACUCUAAGAAUUAUAGUCACUUCAUAUAAUUUAUUAUUUUCUUUCCUAAUAAGACUUUGAACUCUAGAGCUUAUUCUCUAUACAGUGAACAGUAGUGAAUUAAAAAUGCAGUUAUAUUUCUCAUAUAGCAUCUUUUAAAAAACUAUUUGUUUGAUAUUCCUGAAUAACGUAUUUACACCUGCAACCCUUGGCAGUUAACGAGUGAUUGGCAAAUGAAGUUGCAGGGAGGCUGAUUCUCAUAAUCACUUCUCAUUAGCAUAAUCAUUUCACCUUUCCUGCACAAGUAUAUGACAUAAUUAGGUUCUUACAUAAUUAUACUGUUUCUCUACUGAUCUGCAAUUUUGCUGUGGUGCCUCUAAGCCAUGAAAUGUAACAGACAUUAAAUUACUAUUUAAAGGAAUGUUUGCAUGGGUUGGUUAUAGUACAGUUUAUAGACUUAAAUAUAUGAUACUCAAUUUCUAUGUGUGUGGUUUUUUUUUUUAAUUAAGGAUCCUACCCUUACAUUGUGUGUUUUUUUUUUAUUUAUUUUUUAUUGUGGUACAUUAUCCAUGGGAUCCAAAUAAGUUUGGUUAAUCACGUUAUCACAUGCAAACCAAAAUAAGGCAUCUUCAACUCCAAGGUUCAAGAUGACCCAGAAAUAAAUUGCAAAUAACUAGAUCCCAACAGGGAAAGAAAGAAGUAUCGCCUCAAUCAGAAUAAAAUUUGCAGAGCACUUUAUUGAUUUGUAAUAAAAUCUGUCAUAGAGGGGGGGAGGGGGAUGAGAUAGGAUAGAGGAUGCUUGCACAUUUUGAGCCAUUAUGAGAAUGCUUACUCAUUUUGGGCCAUACAGGCAUUACCCCCAACAAUUAUAAUAGUCAUUCCACUAGCAUGCAUAUCAGAUAAUUAUAGAAUUCAGUACAGCAUAAAAAAGCAGUACAGCGUUCGUAGCUGUUAUUUAAAGUUUUUUUUUUUUCUAAACUUCUUCAUUGCCUAAAUUGUAUAUAGAUGGUUUUAUUUUCAUCUUGCAAAAUAAAGUGAAUAUGCAAAGGAUUAGAUACCUUAUUUUAUAAUUAAGAAUUAAAAUUCAGAGUCCAGAGAAACUAUUUCUCUAAUAAAGCUUAUUUAUGUCCCCUAGCCAUCAUCCCUCAUCUCACAAAGAGAGUUAAGCACAACAGUGCAGGGAUUAGCUCAUUAGCUUCCAGUUAUCAUAAUCGGACAAGGAGACAUGGCGAGAGGCUUACCGCAGGCUCCAGGUAAGAAGUCAAACUAUUCUAAAAUGGUUUGAUGACUUACAAAGGUGGGAAGCGGGCAUCAUGGCUCUCCUGGUAGGAUGCUUUGAGUCUUACUUUAAAGAAGUAAGAUUGCACUAAACUUAAAUUAUGCUGUAAAAUAUUAAUAAAGUAUAUGAAAUGUUUCACGUAAGACAGGUACAGAAUAUAAAAUUGCAAUUAAAUCAUUCUGUUCUAACCUGAUGUAAAACAUUUACAUUUUCAGUGCUAAAAAGAUAUCACAGUUCAUUGUUCACCCCUUUAACAAUUAGGAUUGUGUUUCUUAUAAAGUCUAUUACCAUUUACUGUCAACAUUAGUUUAGAAUUCUCUGCAAUUUCUGUUAAAAGGCAAUCCACCUUAAUAUCAGAUAAUGUGCCAUAACAAUCAUGAUAUCAUUGGUGUUGCCUAACCCCUUCAUGGGAUUAAUAGUGGGAUUAAUACAAUUUUAUUUUAGUGUACUAUUUUGUUUUUAUUACUUCUAAUUAUAAUCAUUAUUAACUUUGGUUUAUAAAGUUUACUUCUGAGACAUUUUCUCUAAAAAAGAUCAAACUGAUAUAUUUAAUUGAAACCUAACCGCUAAACAGCAACUUAUGGAAACAUGAAAUCCCACUUUAACUGACAUUUAGACAAGGAUUUGUAAGUACCGUUUAAAGUCACUGCAACUCACAAGAUUAUUGAGCAAUGUUUAAAUUGUUUUGAAUUUCUAUUUUUCAUACAAAAUGGUCAAAUUGAAAAAGUCAACUUUGUUUUCUGUUUGGAUAUUUUGACCUGCAAUUUGAAAUUUACUUUGAAUUCCCAAUAAUUCAUACUUUGAUGACUUCCCCUGAGUUUGCUUUUUGCAUACACCCCUAAUGUAUAUCUUAUUUGUUUGCUAACCCAUUCAAUGAGAGGCAUCAGACAUUUUUUUUUUUUGGCUUAUAUUUGCUUAACCCCAUAUUGACCCCAAAACUUGGGUGCAUUAGUAAGCUCUCCUUUCUGUAUUCAAGAAUAUUUUAAACGAUGACUGGUGAAUAGCAAAACAGAUUUUAUUUUUUAAACUAUUACUAUUCUUUACAUAUAUGCAUGAUCCGGUUACCACUGGAAAAGCAAAUAAUGUAUACGUAAGUGAAACAAUUUUCUUCUUGAUGUUGUGCAGGUGUGACUAGCCCCCCAAAAGAAGACAAUGCAAUCCUAGUAAAUGCCAAUCACUUUCUUUGCUUCAAGAAACCUCAGAUUCCAUAAUGAUUCAUACAAACGUUAAGAGCAGUAUGUAGAAGAUGAAAACAUUUCUUACAAUAUGAUCAGACCCUGUUGGUGUGUUUAUGUAAAUAUUUCCACAGAUGUACCUGAUGGCAUCCGAGUAUUGACUCAUUUAUCCUGGGAUGUACACUGAAUAUAAAAAUCAAGUUUUGUACAAAUAUCAGGAAAGUAACAUAUUUGGUUAAGAGCUGUAAGCUCACCAAAUGAUGGUUAUCAUGUGAUCUGUUCUUGUCUAGAGUCUAGACCAUAGAAUUUUAAAUUUCAAUCCUUUGUACCUGACUGUGCAGGCUUUGCAAUGUACUUCUAUGAUUACAUGCCAAAUGGCUUGAAAAUGGACCUCAUGUGAGGAUAUAAAAAACAAGUCCUGUUCUGUUGGAUGGUCUUACAAAAGUAUGUAAUCAAUUCACCAUCACCAAGACAUUCUUAAGCAGACUCUCUUAUUGUGUGUUGCAGAUUCUUGAUUAACAUUGCGUUAAGUAAAAAAGGAAUGCUCCAAAUGUACUAUUUAUUUAUAAAAAAAAAAAUGUGUAAGCACUUUUUUUAAGCAAAUGUCUGUUUUGUUAUAUAUACUUUAAAUGUUGUGCAUUGUAAAAUGUCUUAUUUGUUGUAAUUAAAUAAAGUUACCUUGAGUGGAAGUGCUG